rnacentral:rRNA from 1 species
UACGGAGGGUGCAAGCGUUUAUCCGGAUUUACUGGGUUUAAAGGGUGCGUAGGUGGAUAAGUAAGUCAGUGGUGAAAUCUCCGGGCUUAACCCGGGAAACUGCCUUGAUACUAUUUGUCUUGAAUACUUUGGAGGUAAGCGGAAUAUGUCAUGUAGCGGUGAAAUGCUUAGAUAAUGACAUAGAACACCAACUUGCGAAAGGCAGCUUACUACACAGUAAUUUGACACUGAGGCACGAAAAGCGUGGGGGAUCAAAACAGGA